rnacentral:rRNA from 1 species
CCGGCACGGGUGAGUAACACGUAUCCAACCUGCCGUCUACUCUUGGCCAGCCUUCUGAAAGGAAGAUUAAUCCAGGAUGGCAUCAUGAGUUCACAUGUCCGCAUGAUUAAAGGUAUUUUCCGGUAGACGAUGGGGAUGCGUUCCAUUAGAUAGUAGGCGGGGUAACGGCCCACCUAGUCAACGAUGGAUAGGGGUUCUGGGAGGAAGGUCCCCCACACUGGUACUGAGACACGGACCAG